UACGUAGGGGGCAAGCGUUGUCCGGAAUCAUUGGGCGUAAAGAGCGUGUAGGCGGCUCGAUAAGUCCGCUCUGAAAGCCCGGGGCUCAACCCCGGGAGGCGGGCGGAUACUGUCGAGCUAGAGUCCGGAAGAGGCGAGUGGAAUUCCUGGUGUAGAGGUGAAAUUCGUAGAUAUCGGGAGGAACACCGGUGGCGAAGGCGGCGAUCUGGGUCGAUACUGACGCUGAGGUGCGAAAGCGUGGGGAGCAAACAGG
rnacentral:rRNA from 1 species